rnacentral:rRNA from 1 species
GGAUCAGUGGCGAACGGGUGAGUAACACGUGAGCAACCUGCCCCUGACUCUGGGAUAAGCGCUGGAAACGGCGUCUAAUACUGGAUAUGUGACGUGACCGCAUGGUCUGCGUUUGGAAAGAUUUUUCGGUUGGGGAUGGGCUCGCGGCCUAUCAGCUUGUUGGUGAGGUAAUGGCUCACCAAGGCGUCGACGGGUAGCCGGCCUGAGAGGGUGACCGGCCACACUGGGACUGAGACACGGCCCAGACUCCUACGGGAGGCAGCAGUGGGGAAUAUUGCACAAUGGGCGAAAGCCUGAUGCAGCAACGCCGCGUGAGGGAUGACGGCCUUCGGGUUGUAAACCUCUUUUAGCAGGGAAGAAGCGAAAGUGACGGUACCUGCAGAAAAAGCGCCGGCUAACUACGUGCCAGCAGCCGCGGUAAUACGUAGGGCGCAAGCGUUAUCCGGAAUUAUUGGGCGUAAAGAGCUCGUAGGCGGUUUGUCGCGUCUGCUGUGAAAUCCCGAGGCUCAACCUCGGGCCUGCAGUGGGUACGGGCAGACUAGAGUGCGGUAGGGGAGAUUGGAAUUCCUGGUGUAGCGGUGGAAUGCGCAGAUAUCAGGAGGAACACCGAUGGCGAAGGCAGAUCUCUGGGCCGUAACUGACGCUGAGGAGCGAAAGGGUGGGGAGCAAACAGGCUUAGAUACCCUGGUAGUCCACCCCGUAAACGUUGGGAACUAGUUGUGGGGUCCAUUCCACGGAUUCCGUGACGCAGCUAACGCAUUAAGUUCCCCGCCUGGGGAGUACGGCCGCAAGGCUAAAACUCAAAGGAAUUGACGGGGACCCGCACAAGCGGCGGAGCAUGCCGAUUAAUUCGAUGCAACGCGAAGAACCUUACCAAGGCUUGACAUAUACGAGAACCGGGCCAGAAAUGGGUCAACUCUUUUGGACACUCGUAAAACAGGUGGUUGCAUGGUUUGUCGUCAGCU